UACGGGGGGGGCAAGCGUUGUUCGGAAUUACUGGGCGUAAAGGGCUCGUAGGCGGCCAACUAAGUCAGACGUGAAAUCCCUCGGCUUAACCGGGGAACUGCGUCUGAUACUGGUUGGCUUGAGUGUGGGAGAGGGAUGCGGAAUUCCAGGUGUAGCGGUGAAAUGCGCAGAUAUCAGGAGGAACACCGGUGGCGAAGGCGGGUCUCUGGGCCGAUACUGACGCUGAGGAGCGAAAGCGUGGGGAGCGAACAGG
rnacentral:rRNA from 1 species